UACAGAGGGGGCAAGCGUUAUUCGGAAUUAUUGGGCGUAAAGGGCGCGUAGGCGGCUUUGCAAGUGACGGGUGAAAUCCCUCGGCUUAACCGAGGAACUGCCUGUCAAACUGCAUGGCUUGAGACCGGGAGAGGUGAGUGGAAUUCCCAGUGUAGCGGUGAAAUGCGUAGAUAUUGUGAGGAACACUAGUGGCGAAGGCGAGACUCUGGACAGUUCCUGACGCUGAGGCACGAAGGCCAGGGGAGCAAACGGG
rnacentral:rRNA from 1 species